AAAAAAAAAAAAAAGAAACGUCUCGCUAAAAUAAUAAUUUUCUCUCAUUAUAGAUCAAAGAAGAAUCCCUCGAUCAGAAUUAACGACAUAGGAACUUGUUCGAAAUCCGUAUCGAAUAUUGUAUCGAUCGACGACGUUCUCACGCGCGUACCACCUUCUUUCUUCUCUUUUUCAAGGAUCCCUUUCUCGCCAGGAUGGGCGCGCCUCCGUCAACAGAUUUCAAGCAUACACAGGAUUCUUCUCCUCUCGUUACACGCGAAAUUUAUGCGUGCCAACGUUCGAACGUUUGGACGCACGUGUCCCGACGGAGCGAAAAUUUCACUGAUCGAUGACGCGUACGAAACACCGGGCCUCCGGCAGGAAAUUAAUCGACCGAUCGCCGCAGGGGCGCGGCUGUUAUUUUUAUUCCGAGAAAUAUCUACAGAACUCGUCAACACGUACACGCACAGAGGAAAGCAACGCUUUUAAUUCGAGCUUUUAAUUUUACGCGACACAUGGGGCUCGACACGUCCGGACUUUACUAUACCGCGCCGCUAUUCGUCGAGUUGGACGAGUUCUCGUGUAUUUUCGCGCCUGACAUUUUACGCGCCGUAUUACUCUUCCGCCGUGACAACUAUUUCUUCCCUUCCCUUCCCCUCCUCCUUUCUUUCAUCCAUUUUUUUCCACGCCUCGAAUUUACGACGAUGAAAAUUCAACUCGAACGAACGAAGCGAUUAAACGAAUUAUACGAAGCCUUCCCCCCGGAGACAAUUACGCGAUAAAUUACGACAAUUCCGGUUCCGCAAACGUGGCGGCGUUUUGCGCGGUCGAUUUUCACGCGUGAACAAUUAACGGGAGGAUGCACGGUGAUCAUCGAUCGGUGUUUUCGGUGUGAAAUUUAAUGAAACGGACCGCCGCUUACGUUGAAAGAAUCAAUUAUCCUUUAUUGCGUGUCUCUCGACGGUGUUGGCGUAUUGGGAUCACAAAGUGGACGGGACAGUGCAGGUUUAAUUAAACGGAUAGAUCUGCGGCGUCGGGAAUCGCGUUUCGUCGGGGAUAAGUUGUUGGCGCGAUCAUCCCCUCCCCUCUCCGCCCCGUGUUUCGCAAAAUUAUUACGUUCCAGAUUGCGUAUUACGCGACCCAGAUGCGUUUGGAUGUAAUUUCACUGGUGGAUGGCUCACGUCCGUUUCCUGGCCAAUCGUCCCUCGUUAAGUCGCGAAUGAACGAUGCGGAAAGAUGACGAACGAUCGCGAAAUAGCUGCGGAUUACAAUUAAACGCAUUAUCAAUUCAUCGAAUUAUUGGAAAAUUUGAUGGACGAGUUAGAAGGGGUGUAACGAGACGAUGUAGCGAUUAGAUUUCAUUCGGAAGGGAUGAUUCGUAAGUCGUUUGGAAAACAAGCUUGCAGAUUCUGCGGAAUGUUUGAUCCGACAAAAUCCACGGGAUAAUCCAACGCGGUAAUUGGAAAGGAAAGACUGAAUCAAGCAUUUACUUUAUUAAUGAGUAUUAUUCGUUGAACUGUAUGCGCCGGAUUAUUUCCGUUUGAUCGGAAAGUUGCUCGCAACUGGGAGAAAGUACGGGGAUA